rnacentral:tRNA from 1 species
GGACCUUUAGCUCAGUUGGUGAGAGCAGACGGCUCAUAACCGUCCAGUCGUAGGUUCGAGUCCUACAAGGUCCA